rnacentral:rRNA from 1 species
AGAGUUUGAUCAUGGCUCAGGAUGAACGCUGGCGGCGUGCUUAACACAUGCAAGUCGAACGGAGUUUUAACGGAAGUUUCGGAUGGAAGUUAGAACUUAGUGGCGGACGGGUGAGUAACGCGUGGGUAACCUGCCUCAUACAGGGGGAUAACAGUUAGAAAUGACUGCUAACACCGCAUAAUAUAGCGAAACCGCAUGAUUUUGCUAUCAAAUAUUUAUAGGUAUGAGAUGGGCCCGCGUCUGAUUAGCUAGUUGGUGGGGUAAAAGCCUACCAAGGCGACGAUCAGUAGCCGGCUUGAGAGAGUGACCGGCCACAUUGGGACUGAGACACGGCCCAAACUCCUACGGGAGGCAGCAGUGGGGAAUAUUGGACAAUGGGGGAAACCCUGAUCCAGCGAACCGCCGCGUGAGUGAAGAAGUAUUUCGGUAUGUAAAGCUCUAUCAGCAGGGAAGAUAAUGACAGUACCUGACUAAGAAGCCCCGGCUAACUACGUGCCAGCCGCUGC